rnacentral:lncRNA from 1 species
AACAGGAUCUGGGAGGAUAAGCAGCAGAGCUGUUGAGUCCAACCCAGUCAUCCUGGCUCUAGAAUCCUUGUUUUCCUAGUUUCCCUGGAGUCCUUAGUGUGGCCCAGGGCACACAGUCUCUCCAGCAGGGUAGCCAGACUUUCUACAUGAUACUAUAGUUUACUAUGGGAAGAAUGGCCACAAGGAUAGAAAUAAGUUUCCUGGACCCUUCUCAGGAAGAAAAUGGCUUGGAAGAAAAAUGGCUUUUAAGAAACAUAAGAAAAAAGUAAGAAAAGUAAGAAAAAAAUGUAAUGAAAAUAAGUAAUGAAAAAAAAAUCAUGGUAUGUGGAAAUAGAAAUGGACUCAAAACAUCAGAAAUUGAAUACUUGAAGACUGAUACGUUUUUUGUGGUGUUUAAAGGUGGCUCUGGUGCUCAUGCCCUUGUGUAGCUCCCUAUGCAACACUGACUCUGAGCUGGCCACAUAACUUGCUUUUCUUGUUGGUAUCUGGGAUUGAACUCGGGACCAUGUGCUUUCGAGGCAGGCGGCGGAACCACUGAGCUAAAUCCCCAGACCUACUUGCUUUUAGCCUCAAAAUGUGGUGAGAACCACAUGAGCACUGUGCCAAUUCUGGGCCUCAAAAGGGAUACAGCUUUUACUCUUGCACCAUUUUGGAACCCUAAGCAAUCCAUGCAAGGCAGCCAGCCUCUCUACGGAGCGAUCACAAGGAGUGGCCACGUGAAGAGGGAGAUACCCUGCGUCUACAUGGACAAAAGGAGAGAGAUACUUCAGUUAUGCCAGGUGAACCCAACCUGUCCCAUUUCCUGGUAAAAGUGCCACACACAGGAAGGUACCAUCUUGGCCAUUCUCAUACAGCUGAGCUCCCACCUAGGUGGCUGAAGACAGCGCUUUCCCAUGGAGCAGAGGAAAUGCCCAAAUGGUCCUAGUCAGUGAGAGUCCAGGAGAUAAGAGGGCUGCUCUUUAAGAAACCAGAAUGGCACUGUUGGUUAGAUGUUACAAGAGGAGGGACACCCAGGAUCUCCCCUGCCCAAUGGGCUUGGAAUAGCUGCCAUCUCAUUCAGUGACUGACCUAAAGUCCCGCAUGAAUAGUGGGAGCAUUACAAGG